AUUCUUAAAAUGGGCAGCACAUAUACAAAAAUUGGAACUAUACAGAGAAAAUUAGCAUGACCCUUGAGCAAGAAUGACAAACAAAUUCAUAAAGGUUCCAUAUUUUU
rnacentral:snRNA from 1 species